rnacentral:rRNA from 1 species
UACGAAGGGGGCUAGCGUUGCUCGGAAUCACUGGGCGUAAAGGGUGCGUAGGCGGGUUUUUAAGUCAGGGGUGAAAUCCUGGAGCUCAACUCCAGAACUGCCUUUGAUACUGAAGAUCUUGAGUCCGGGAGAGGUGAGUGGAACUGCGAGUGUAGAGGUGAAAUUCGUAGAUAUUCGCAAGAACACCAGUGGCGAAGGCGGCUCACUGGCCCGGUACUGACGCUGAGGCACAAAAGCGUGGGGAGCAAACAGG